rnacentral:rRNA from 1 species
UACGUAGGGACCAAGCGUUGUCCGGAAUCAUUGGGCGUAAAGAGCGUGUAGGCGGCUUGUUAAGUCUUGCGUGAAAUCUCGGGGCUCAACCCCGAGCGGUCGUGAGAAACUGGCAGGCUAGAGUGCGGGAGAGGAGAGUGGAAUUCCUGGUGUAGCGGUGAAAUGCGCAGAUAUCAGGAGGAACACCGAUGGCGAAGGCAGGUCUCUGGGCAUUAACUGACGCUGAGGAGCAAAAAGCAUGGGGAGCGAACAGG